rnacentral:rRNA from 1 species
UGGCCCCUACGGGGGGCAGCAGUCGGGAAUAUUGCGCAAUGGAGGAAACUCUGACGCAGUGACGCCGCGUGCAGGAAGAAGGUUUUCGGAUUGUAAACUGCUUUAGACAGGGAAGAAAAAAGACAGUACCUGUAGAAUAAGCUCCGGCUAACUACGUGCCAGCAGCCGCGGUAAUACGUAGGGAGCAAGCGUUAUCCGGAUUUAUUGGGUUUAAAGGGUGCGUAGGCGGAUUGAUAAGUUAGAGGUGAAAUGUCCGAGCUCAACUCGGGAACUGCCUCUAAUACUGUUGAUCUAGAGAGUAGAUG